rnacentral:lncRNA from 1 species
AUAAAGAAAACUUCAAGAGAAAGCGAGAGCCUGAUGGGCACUGGGCGACUCUGUGCCUCAUGGAAGAAAAUCAACUAACUAAAUGUGGGCAAAGGAGAUCCGAAGAAGCUGAGAGGCAAAAUGUCCUCAUAUGCUUUAUGUUUGCAAACCUUCUGAGAGUAGCAUAAGAAGAAGCACCCGGAUGCUUCUGUCAACUUCUCAGAGUUCUCCAAGAAGCGCUCAGAGAGGUGGAAGACCAUGGCUGCUAAAGAAAAGGGGAAAUUUGAAGUUAUGCGGAAGGCGGACAAGACUCAUUAUGAAAGAGAAAUGAAAACCUACAUCCCCCCAAAGGAGAGACCAAAAAGAAGUCCAAGGACCCAAAUGCACCCAAGAGGCCUCCCUCAGCUUUCUUCUUUUUCAGUUCUGAGUACCACUCCAAAAUCAAAGGCGAGUACCCUGGCUUAUUUAUUGGUGAUGCUGCAAAGAAACUACGAGAGAUGUGAAACAACACUGCUGUGUAUGACAAGCAUCCCUAUGAGAAGAAGGCUGUCAAACUGAAGGAGAAGUACAAGAAGGAUAUUGCUGCCUACAAAGCUAAAGGAAAACCUGAUGCAGUAAAAAAGGAGGUGGUCAAGGAUGAAAAGAGCAAGAAAAGAAGGAGGAGGGAGAUGAUGAUGAGGAUGAGGAAGAGGAGGAAGAAGAAUUAGACGAAGAUGAAGAAGAUAAUAAUGAUGAAUAA